rnacentral:piRNA from 1 species
AUGUGUGAUGUUGAAAGGUAUCA